rnacentral:tRNA from 1 species
UGCCCGGUGGUGCAACUGGCAGCACGUCAGGUUUUGGUCCUGAAGGUUCCAGGUUCGAGUCCUGGCCGGGCAG